GACGAACGCUGGCGGCGUGGAUUAGGCAUGCAAGUCGAACGGUAUCAUCCUUUCGGGGGUGAGAGAGUGGCGAACUGGUGAGUAACACGUAGGUUAUCUACCCUCAAGACGGGGACAACCCAGGGAAACUUGGGCUAAUACCGGAUGUGAGCAACUUUUAGUUGUUUGAAAGGUGGCGUAAGCUGUCGCUUGGGGAUGAGCCUGCGUCCUAUUAGUUAGUUGGUGAGGUAACGGCUCACCUAGGCAAUGAUAGGUAGGCGGCCUUAACGGGUGGUCGCCCACACUGGGAUUGAGAUACGGCCCAGACUCCUACGGGAGGCAGCAGUCGAGAAUAGUCUACAAUGGUCGGAAGACUGAUAGUGCGACGCCGCGUGAACGAUGAAUCCCUUCGGGGUGUAAAGUUCUUUUAUAUGUGAGCAGUGCUUCUUAUAUUAACAGUAUGGGGAGAGAGAUAUUAGCAUAUGAAUAAGCAACGGCUAACUCCGUGCCAGCAGCCGCGGUAAACUACG
rnacentral:rRNA from 1 species